GAUUAACGCUGGCGGCGUGCAUAACACAUGCAAGUCGAACGAUGAAACUCAUUAGAUUUCUUCGGAAUGACAAUGAAUGGAUUAGUGGCGAACGGGUGAGUAACACGUGAGUAACCUGCCUUAGAGAAGGGGAUAGCCUUUGGAAACGAAGAAUAAUACCCUAUGAAAUGAUAAUAUCGCAUGAUAGUAUCAUCAAAGAAUUAUCGCUCUAAGAUGGACUUGCGCCUGAUUAGCUAGUUGGUGGAGUAACAGCCCACCAAGGCAACGAUCAGUAGCCGGCUUGAGAGAGUGUACGGCCACAUUGGGACUGAGACACGGCCCAGACUCCUACGGGAGGCAGCAGUGGGGAAUUUUGCACAAUGGGGGAAACCCUGAUGCAGCGACGCCGCGUGAUUUAGAAGGCCUUCGGGUUGUAAAAAUCUUUUGUAUAGGAAGAAAAUGACAGUACUAUACGAAUAAGGUCCGGCUAAUUACGUGCCAGCCGCCGCCGUAA
rnacentral:rRNA from 1 species